UACGGAGGGUGCAAACGUUGCUCGGAAUCAUUGGGCGUAAAGCGCACGUAGGCGGUCCGUUAAGUCGGGUGUGAAAUCCCUCGGCUCAACCGAGGAAGUGCAUUCGAAACUGGCGGACUUGAAUAUGGAAGAGGGUCGUGGAAUUCCCGGUGUAGAGGUGAAAUUCGUAGAUAUCGGGAGGAACACCAGUGGCGAAGGCGGCGACCUGGGCCAAUAUUGACGCUGAGGUGCGAAAGCGUGGGGAGCAAACAGG
rnacentral:rRNA from 1 species